rnacentral:lncRNA from 1 species
UGCAAGUGUGACUUUCCCAUAAAAUCCUGAGGGACAGGGAACAGAACUGACUUAAUGCAUGUUCCUUCCCUCUACUUAACACAGAGUCAAAUCAAUGUUGUCAUUAAAAAAAAAAAUUGUUACACUUGGAUCUCAAAAGUGCCUGCUAACUCUUAAUGCAACUGAAUGGAAAGACUUAAUACUGCCUCAAUGGCUAUGAGAAGAAAUACAUCAUAUAGGGGUCCAAAAAUGCUAGCAAGAAAAAUAUGUAAUUAUGUGCUUAAGGUCUGUAUCAUAAUUAGAUGAGCAAGUGGAAUGCUAUAAACAGCAUCAGGAGAAAGUGAAUCUGGAUCUGGGCUUUGUUAACUAAACACAUACUGUCCAAGCCAACUACAGCGGGAAAAUCUGGGUCAAUUCAGUUAAAUUCAAUGACCAGACAGUCCAUGUAAUAAAUGGAACUGUAAUUUGAUGGUAGCCUGGAUGUUUGGAAAUGCUAACUUUAUCAUCAGCCUAGCUAAUCUUAUAAAGCACUACAAAGACAUCAGCCGAGUUAACUUGAUAAUGUGGACUUUAAAAGAGGCACUAAAAAUACAAGUGGACUUUCCUUAUGAAUUCUGAAAUAAGAAAAAGAUAGAUACCAAGUUUUCCAUUUAGGCUGGUAUAAUGUCAUUUAUCCCUCUAGCCCAUGUUUCUCUUGGGUACAGUUUCAGGUGAUUAUAAUCAAGUUUAAAAACACCAUCAGUGGCAGAAGGCAUAAAUUUAUGAUCUAGACUGAGACCUGUAUGAUCGACAAUUACUUCUGAUAUCAUCUUAAAUUUUAUUUUCUACCACGGAUUGUAAACUA